rnacentral:rRNA from 1 species
CCCUUAGACGUUCUGGGCCGCACGCGCGCUACACUGACCAGUGCAACAAGCAUCCGUCCUUGGCCGACAGGCCCGGGCAAUCUUUGAACGCUGGUCGUGAUGGGGAUAGACUUUUGCAAUUUUUGGUCUUCAACGAGGAAUUCCUAGUAAACGCAAGUCAUCAACUUGCAUUGAUUACGUCCCUGCCCUUUGUACACACCGCCAGUCGCACCUACCGAUUGAAUGGUCCGGUGAAGCCUCCGGAUUGGCGCGCACCUCGGUGCCGCCGAGAAGUUGGCUAAACCUUACCAUUUAGAGGAAGGUGAAGUCGUAACA